rnacentral:rRNA from 1 species
UACGAAGGGGGCUAGCGUUGUUCAGAAUCACUGGGCGUAAAGGGCGCGUAGGCGGCUUUGUAAGUCGGGGGUGAAAGCCUGUGGCUCAACCACAGAAUUGCCUUCGAUACUGCAUGGCUUGAGACCGGAAGAGGUUAGUGGAACUGCGAGUGUAGAGGUGAAAUUCGUAGAUAUUCGCAAGAACACCAGUGGCGAAGGCGGCUGACUGGUCCGGAUCUGACGCUGAGGCGCGAAAGCGUGGGGAGCAAACAGG